ACACAUGAACAUCGACAUUUUGAACGCAUAUUGCGGUCCAUACUGACUAGUUUCUUAAUUGAAGCUGUAUGGACCACACAUGGUUGAGGGUCGUUAGUUUACGCUAACUAAAUUGCUUUUAUUUUUAAUCGAAUAAAAGUUACAUAUUGAGGUGUUGGCAAUCUUAAGUGUAUUGGCAUCCCUUGAAAAAUACUCCUUAAUUGGUGUACACAAUUUAAAUUAUUGUGGAUGCUUGUUUUAAUUCAAAGGAAACAAAUACUCAAUUUUUAUAUAUAUAAAGUUGUUGAAGCUAGUAAACUUUGAUUAAACGUAUUUAUUUACGUAUUUGAAUGCUUAACCUGAACACUUCAACAAUUCAAUUCAUAUUAACCAUUGUAUAUAAAAAUGUAAUUCGUUAAAGUAUUUAAUUCGUUAAUUUCCAAUGAAUGUGAAUAAACAAUCCCAUUUAUUUUUGAACGCGGGUGGCAUUCAUUCCAAAUAUACAAUAAUUUAGAUUUGAUAUUUAUAUAACCAAAAGCGACCUCAACUCAUGUGAGACUACCCCCUG
rnacentral:rRNA from 1 species